GUAUAGCACAUGCCCCUGCAGUCUUACUGUUUAAUUCUCUGCCAUUUAUUAUAUAGUUUAUGCAGCCUUAGCCACACCUACUUGCAUUUGACUUAAGCAUCGUUCCUAAACACUUCCUGUAAAGAAAUGUUUAAUGUUUACACUUCCUUUAUUGCAAAUUAUGUUUAAUUUAGAAUUUCUUAUCUCAUGCUUUAAUAGCUUGCUAGACCCUGCAGGAGACUCAUGUGUGCAAUUAAAGUUCAAUUUACAGAGCAGGAGAUACAAACUUUUAAAGAAAGUUUCAUCUGAUUGAAAAUUAAACCAUAUUGUUUUCUUGCAGGCUGCGUCAGUCACAGCCAGGGGAGGUGUGGUUAGGGCUGCAUAAACAAACAAAAGUUAUUUAACUCCUAAAUUGCAGUGAAACUUAAGAGACAUGAUCUCUACACAAAAACUGCUUCAUUAAGUUAAGUUGUUUUGGUGACUAUAGUAUCCCUUGAAAGAGGCAUGAAAUUCUACCUUUUUUGUUUCUUUCUUUGUUUGUUUUUUACAUCACGAGGGAUAAGUAAACAUAAUUUUAAAAAUGGAGAGCAAAAAACGAGUCACAAGAGUAUUCUGAGAACGGACAGCAACCGAAAUAGCCUGCCCUUCUGUGGGUCCCCUCUCAGAACUCAAGCUGGUUUUAGCUCAUCUUGUGCCAUUACAGAGAGAACAUCUCUGAAACAUAUCAGACUGGUCCCACCCAUACGGGCAUUCCAGAUCCGAAAUGCCAGCAAGUUCUGUCUGCACGAGAGACACCGCAACCCCAGACGUUCGUUUCAGCCUUGUUAGGCAUCAUCAGUGAGGCAUAGCGGAUAUCUCUUUAGGCACCGUGAGCAAGGAGUCCACGUCUGGAUAAUUUAAAAAAUCCUGUAAAGUGGCAAUUACUCUUUAAAGGACCACUAUAGUGCCAGGAAAGCAAACUCAAUUUCCUUGCACCAUAGGGUCAUUAGGUCCCCCCCUCCAUCUGGACUGAAGGGGUUAAAACCCCUUCAGCCACUUACCUUUCUCUAGCGCUGGGCUCCCUCUGUGCUGGGGAACUCUCAACUCCCUGCCGACGUCAGCUCCGAAUGUGCAUGCGCGGCAAGAGCCACACAUGCAUUCAAACCGCCCAUAGGAAAGCAUUACUCAAUGCUUUCUUAUAGACGUCCAGCGUCUUCUCACUGUGAUUUUCAGUGAGACAGCCAGUAGAGGCUGGAUUAACCCUCAUUUCUGAAACUGCUAUGUUUUCAACUGCAGGGUUUAAACUAGAGGGACCUGGCACCCAGACCACUUCAUUGAGCUGAAGUGGUCUGGGUUCCUAUAGUGGUCCUUUAACAAUAGCUGUGGUAGAAAUUUACAUGUAGGGAAGUAAGUCAUUGCAUUACAUUUAAUUCAUUACCCAUAUACAGAAGGAUCAUGGAAGUAAGAAAGCACAUCCUUCUAACAGGUAAAAUGUGUGGUAAAAGCUGGUAACGUGUGUCUUGUUUGUUUUUACAGCCAAACCAGGGAAUCUGGAAGUGGAUAUUUGGAAUCAGGAGUCCACACUGUGCAGUUCUUUCUCAUUCUUUCUCACAAUCUGGCCCCUAAAGCCCCAUUCAGUAUGGAAUGUUCUGCUAAUUUUGUAUUUCUAGUUACUUGCAGCCCUGCAUUUGUAAAAGUAGUUUUGAUAUGUGAUUUUUACAGACUAGUUUGUCAUGUCUUAUUUUUACUUCACUGGUUUUUAAGGGUUUUAAUAAGUUGGUUCUAAGUUACUGAUGAUCUACUUUGUAAUAAACAUUAGAAAUAUAGCUUUUUUUCCCCCUAACAUAAGUGUUUUGAUGUAGGCUAAUGCACCCAACGUUGCAAAAAAAAAAAAUGCAAAGUACUAAAGCAGUGUCCUCCACCCAUGGUAAGAUUUCCAAUUAUGAUGAUCUCUGGUUUUAUCCAAUAUUUCUCUUAGAGAAGAAUUGUAGUCCUAGAUGCAUGGCAAUUGUGAUACACCAAUCCAAUGUGUUUCAAUUCAACAAGUAAGAUUUUUCUAUAUUUAGAGAGGCAAGGGAGGGCCAGGGAGGCUAGAUGGUGGUUUUAACACUAUAGGGUCAGGAAUACAUGUUUGUGUUCCUGACCGUAUAGUGUUCCUUUAACAACUUCACUAACAGUUUUACACAUGAGCCUGUCAAGAAAAAUGGGAAUUUUAUACAGCUUAUAUUCACUGAAGGGAUAAGCUUGAAACAGUAUCAAUUUUACAAAUCACAUUGCAACCUAUGUUAUGGUGUCUGGAUUGCAAUAUUAAUAUGUAUAGUAAAUAAAGUCAUGUGCUGUAAGUAGCUAUUAACCUGCAAGAAAAGGGGGAGUAGUUAAGUAUUGAAACAUUACUGCAUCUUUUUUAAUGCAUCUCUUUUUGUCUACUCAUAUACAGGUUAAAUGCUCAUAUUUCUAGGAAGAUCCUGGAACCUGCACUGUUUAACCAAAGCUGAAGACCUACUUUUGAACUUCUCGUUUAAAUAAACACUACAAGCACCAUAACCACUGCAACUCACACUGAAGUGGUUAUGAUGCCAGGCGUACCCUGGUGUCCCUCCCACAUUUUAAGUAGUCAAACCAUGUUCGUACAUUUGGAUUUAUACCCGGAGUCCACCAGGUGCUACUCCCCACCUCUAUUACAGAAAACAGAGAACUGGUAGCUCCUAACCUGGAGAUUCCAUUAACUCACCUGGGUUAAGCCCAGCUGUGCACCCAGGGGCAGACUGAGAACCCUCAGGGCCCUCGGGCAAAAUAAAUCAAGGGCCCCCUUACAGGCCCCACCCAUACUCCACAGCAAGUGCCAUCCUUGUCCCACCUCCAUACACCGCCUCCAGCCACACCCUACACAAUCUUUUAGACACAAGGAACAAAAGUGCAAUAAUCGCUUCGAGGCCCCAGUAGAGACUACAAUUGAGGGCUAAUGGGCUUGCUGGAAGGCUGUGGGCUUGCUGGCUACUGCCGGCAGGCUGUGGGCUUGCUGGCUGCGGCUGGCAGGCUGUGGAAGGGGGUCUUUCUAACAGGCCAUCUCAGCGUCCAUUAGAUAGCCUCUGCUGGAAACAGUCGCCUCCAAGCCCCAGUAGAGACUACAAUUGAGGGCUAAUGGGCUAUGGAGGGGGGGUCAUUCUAGCAGAGGCUAUCUCAGUGUCCUUUAGAGAGUGUGUUAGAAAGAAUCUCCUCCAGGCCCCAUUAGACACUACAAUGGAGUCUAAUGGGGCCUGGAGGGGGUUUCUCCAUCACUCUGGUUCCUAUUCACAAUAUAGCAACACAACAUAGCUCGCUGAUACCUAGACCAAGUUGGCUCCUCUUACCUUAAUUACUGUUGCUGGCUGUCAUCUGUGGGCUUGCUGGCUGUGGCUGGCAGGCUGUGGGCUUGCUGGCUACUGCCGGCAGGCUGUGGGCUUGCUGGCUGUAGGCCUGUGGGCUGACUGGCUGGCCCAUGGGCUGGCUAACUGGUGGCUUGUGGGCUGGCUACUGGCCAGCCUGUGGGUUGGCUGGCUGGCCGGCCUGUGGGUUGGCUGGCUGGCUGGCCGGCCUGUGGGUUGGCUGGCUGGCUGGCUGGCCGGCCUGUGGGUUGGCUGGCUGGCUGGGCAGGCUGGCUGGCUGGCUACUGGGGCACUUGUAGAUUAUUUAAAGAAAUAAUCCAUGCACAAUAACCACUACUGCUCUGUUUAAGAACAGUUUGACAACUUACCUGGGGUCUGCUGGGAUAUGGAGCUGUAGUAGGGUAUAGGAGCAGUGGUGCAAUGUGUGUGAAAGGUUCAGUGUGUGUGAGGGGGUGUAGUGUGUGAAUGUGUAGGCUGUGUGGGGCAAUGUGUGUAUGAGGGGGCUGUGUAUGUGUGUGGCAAUGUUAGUAUGGGGGGCUGUGUGUGUAUGGGUGGGCAGUGUAUGUGUGUGUGUGAGGCAAUGUGAAUGGUGUGUGUGGGGGCAGUGUGUGAAUGUGUAUGGUGUGUGUGUGUGUGUGUGAGGCAAUGUGAAUGGUGUGUGUGGGGGCAGUGUGUGAAUGUGUAUGGUGUGUGUGUGUGUGUGUGGGGGCAGUGUGUUUAUGGGGCUAGAGUUCACUCUCACAACUGCGACCACCAGGAAUCCCUGGUGGUCACAGUGUUGAGAGUGAACUCUAGCCCGGAGCUCCAGGGCUAGAGUUGACUCUCGCAAGAGCCGUAACGUUGCCAUGGUAACCGCGGCAACGCUCUGUGCUCGCGCAAGAAGGACCCAGAGGAGCUGCAGGCUGAGCUCCCGGGUCCUCUCUUCCUCCCUCCCCUGCCGGCUGCCCGCACGGUGCCUGCGGACAGGGGAGGGGGGGCAAUUGCCCCAUUGCCCCCCUGGAUCCACCAGUGAUAUAUACAGCCCUUCUGUGUGCCUUUUUGUCUCCCCCCAGUCACUCUGUAUGUUUCUUUCUCCCCCUCACUGCUCCUGUGUCCAUGUCUCCCCUCUCCUUCCCAGUCUCUCUUACCCCUCUUCCUCUUUCUCCCCUUGUGUGUCUCCCCCCUUUCCCUGUGUCUCUCUCUCCCCCACAUCUCUCUUCCUCUCUGUCUCUUUCUCCCCAUCUCUCUAUUCCCCCUCUUUCUCCCCCUGUGUCUCAUUCUUCCACAUCCUGUGCUGGGAAUUGUGGGAACCACAAAGGAGCAUGAGAGAGAGACAUGCUUCUCCCUCCUUCCGUCCUCAGCGUUAGUGACAGGACAGGAGUGCUGCCGGACCGGCGAGGCCACAAUUUACUAUUUCUGUUUACAUGCAAUCACUUGGUAACUUCAUUUAUAACCCCACUAUCCUCUCCAAGGAUAACUUGUCCUUUUCACGUACAAUUUUAUGCUAUAUUUCCUAUCUUCCAAUAUAUUUUUUUCUUGCCUUAUCUAUUUUUAACUUCUUUUUCAUUGCAGAUUAAAAGGAGCACUAAGGAGCUGUUGUGGUUAUGGUGCCAGAAGGCUGCAGGUGCCAUCCCCUGGUUCUGUUUCAUACAAUUUUUAUUUAUUUUUAAAGGUUUGACACCAACCCAGGCACCUGCUCCCUUGCUCGGCAUAUUGCUAAUGCGGACGUUCAUUAUUAGCAUUGGCAGUUUUGGUAUUGAUUAGCUAAGUGUAUCACAAUCUGUCAUGGAAAAUUUUUAUACUGAUAUACCCUACCUACAUAAAGUUCACCAACCUGCAGUUCUUGCUUCCUUAUCUUCAUCUGCCCUAUCUCUAAAUAUAACCUUAUCCUCCAUGUUUGCUACUUUGUUUCCCCUUAGAAUCUUGGUAACUGUGGGAAAGAUUAUUUAGUAAAUCUGCCUUUGUGCCUUUUUACGUUUAGAGAAACAUACUGAAAACGGAACACUAAAAUGUUAAAAAAAAAAAUAUGGAUAUAUUUUUUUUUUUUUUUAAACCAAUUAUAUACCAAAGCUUAGACACAUGGCAUCAUCAUAUGAAGACCUGGAACAUCUAAGGGAGAAUGAGAGGCUGUUUGACUGACCGUCAAUAGAAGCAUUUUCAGCCAUGUUUCACAUAAGAGAAAAAGGCACCAUCUAUGUGCAAAAACCACUACAUUUAGAUGUGGUUUUGGUGCUUAGAGGGCCCCUUCAACAUAAAAUAGAUGUAUAAAAAUUUAAUUGUGUCAACUGUAGUGAGAUUUAAUUAGUAGCUGCACCCAUUUGAGAAUAACAAGAGCAGUAGAUCCCCAUGCAUAAAACCAAAAACAAGGAUACACAUACAUUUUAACUUGGUUUUCUAAAAAGGGCAUGGCAAGAGCAUUCCUUUAUAGUGGUCAGAGUCUGUAUAUUAGUGAUUGAUAGACUUCAGUCCAAUACUUAAAGUUGCAUUGGUGUCCGGAUUGUCUCUCUAAUGCAUUUGAUAGAUUUAGGCCUCCUUAAUCUGCUAUAUUUUUUUCCAUGCUCAAAUGUUUAUAGUUUUUGCACAAAAACAAGUGUUUUGCAGAAUGCUGCACCAUAAGCUCGCCUCAUUAGCAACUCCUUUCUGUGCCAGAAAGACUACCUUAUCAAAUGUAUGCAACAGUACUGAUUCAAGCUAUUUUUCAUUCAACACCAGGCUGCAGAGUAUGUAAACUGGUAGUGACAUCCUUACCAUAUGCUUCCCUGACUGUUCUCUCGUAACACAGGUUAUGUAGUACAGAUUAUUCAGUACUGUAAGUGGCUGAGCAGUGUUUGAUGCGGACGUCUUUUUCUGGAUUGAGGAGGUGUGGCCAAAGAAACAGGCUUAUGUUGCAACAGGCAAAAAAAAUAAAAUAUGCAGCUUAUUAACGAGGCCAUAACCUAUUAAAGUUGUAUUGGUACCCAAAGUUUCCCUUUAACUGAAAACCAAAAAGAGUAAAUGUUUUAUAAAUUAUUUUUUUUUUAGAUUUAAUUUGUCUUGUUGAGGGUGACUGUAGAACACAGUUACUGUAAACCAUAUGAAUGCUUAUUUUAGUAAUAACAUAACAAAAAAAGGAAUAACAAAAUUAAUUUCAAACUUAAGGUUAAAAAAAAAAAAGCUGAACUGGGAAAAUACUCUGGGUUUUUUGUUUGGCUACUUUAGCCUUAUUCUAAAAUUUAUUUAGUAUUUUCACUUUACUAAAAACCCUGGAAAGUGAUUAUACAAAGGCUAUCACAUAAAACAUUUAAUUUUUUUUAUAGAGUCCUGCUUGACUGAUCAUUUUGCUACUAAACAUUUUUGGAAAAUAUAUUGUAUUCACUAUAUUGCAUGCAAGUCAUUUAUAUUAUGUUAUAUUAUGUGUGCUGAAUCAUGUUAGUAUACAUUGAGUUCGCUGUAGUGCAUGGGAGUCAUUUAUAUAUCUUAUAUGUGUUGAAUCUUAAUUAAUUUGUGAGCAAAAGCUGUCACCUGAUCCCUUGAGAGGUGUUAAAACAGCUCUGUCACACCCAACAUUUGUUUGGGCAUUUCAUUAAAGAAAAAAAAAAAAAAAAAAAUUCAAUUUCAACACAGUCAAAAGUUAUCCUAAAACAAAGUAAGAGCUAUUAUGGUAAGUUCUCUACUACCGCCGUCAAGUUUUGUUACCCUCCUCUGCUGUCGCUAGCAACGGCUGUGGGAAUAAGUCAUUGUCUCUUUCAUCAUAAAAUUAUAUCUACGGAGACUCUCGCAGGUUUCUCCAAACACGGUACUCCUGGACUACCACACUGAAGUGGGCUCCUUUUCUAUGAAGCGCCAUGCACUGAAGAGUAAAGAUGGCAGUGCUGGCAGGGGACAGCUUCAUGUAGGUAGAACUCACCUGCACUGCACCCCUGGGCUACGGCAUAAAAUAUGCAAAGACCCCAGAAGGUGAUAGAGCUGAUUUAAAGGGUUUACUCCAGGCACUGUAAACACUUCAUUGAUUUGAAGUGUUCAUGGUUACUGAAAUCUGUGAAUGUGAAGCAUUUCACAAUAAAACCUCUUUGCUGCCGGUAGUGUUACUCAGUGUAUCGUCAUUGGCAUGUCAUUAGCUAGCUUGGAACUAAUGUGAAUUAUGUGUAUAUUUGUAUGUACAGGCGCUUAUUAAUUGGCUGAAUGUAAUCAGCAAUGCUCUGCACCAGUUACCAGAUCAGCAUCUGGCUUAUGCAGAAGCCAAACGUUGUAAUUCCGCUGAAAAAGAGAGCUGGCAUCCUGCAGGAUCCCAUGUAAAAGGGUAAACCACUGUAAAAUGGUUUGCUCCAUUAACAGGGUGCGGCGUCAGGGUACUCUUUGUGUGACUAUGAUGGUUGGAGUAACUCUUUAUAAUCAGUAUUGCACUGUUUUAUUUAUAGGAAAGCUCCACACACAAAAAGCACUGUUAGCUUGCUCAUUUUAAUUGUGGCUUGUAAAAUUGACAAUUUUAUAAAUCAUUGCAGUAGCUCUUCCGUGUGAAUCAGACAUACAGGGAGAUUAUCUUCCACUAGCUCCACAGAGCUAAUGAAAGAGCCAUGCUUGCUUGGCUAGCUCAAAGAGAAGUGUCUAAAUUGGAAGAUUGCGUGUGUGUUGUUGCAGCCUAAAAUCAGAGGCUUCUCCAUGAAAACUCUGGUUGGCCUCUUCCCCGACAUAAUUUUUUGCGGAAAGGAGAAAGCUUACAAAGGCUGUAGACAAGAGAUCUGCAGGGGUUGCAAGCUGGCUUUAAAUAUGUCCCAAAGGAAGAAAUUGCUCAUAGGGCAUCAAAACAACAUAAUUUAGCGAUUUGGAUGUAUAGAUCAUACUCCUGCAGUUUCAGUGAUCAAUUAUGCAUAAACAAAGAAAUUUAACUCCUAAAUGGCAGAGAAUUGAGCAGGGGCAUAAUCUAUACACUAAAAUUGUUCACUAAGCUAAUGUUGUUUUGAUGCCUAAAUAGUGAUUAACGUAUAAUAUACUAUAUGUUAAUUUCACUUAUUUCAGCAUUAAUUACAAUUCCAAGUGGGGUAACAAUGUGGAGAUAACAAAAGUAGAGAUUCAGCUCUCUUACAUAUGUUGCAUCUUAUAGGGUUGCUCUGUUAAAGGCUGCCUACUGUCAAAUCUGUGCAUAGUAUAUGUCUGUCAGCGCAUACUGGCGACAAAUGUAAUGUGAUUCUCCCCUUGCAGGCAGAGCUUGCUGGUAAGUCUUGUGUCUACUCCCUCCCAAUUCCAUCCAUUCAGAUUUUUUUUGUACCACUCCCCCUCCUCUUGCCAGCUCAGAGAAUGUGCAGUUACAUGGUCCACACUACAUUAAUUACUAGAUUGUGUUAGAAAUGGACUUGGAUAAAAAAUAAAGUUCUUAUUCUAAGAGAAGGUACUUAAUCACAUGAUAUACUGCUAUAUAGAAAAUCGGUCCUUAUAUAGUUAAUUAUCAAAAUGUGUUGCUUUCGUUUCAGAACCAGAAACCUGACAUCUACGAGGAAUGCUACCACCUAACCUUAUGAAAACAUGCUGCUGUGAUUUACUAUAUAUUAUUUCAGGUACUCAUUUAUUGACUAUGCCUUAUCAAUAAAGCCACAUAAUAGUUUUAAGGGACCUAUAUUAUAACCAUAAUAUAAAACACGGCUCAAAAUGUCCACUCCCCCCCCCCAUUGGCAAAUAAAUAUACACAAUAUAUGUGGGUGGUAUUUGUGCAGUAAUAAAUGUAUUGAAGCAGAAGCCCACCAUGCAGUAUCUGGUCUUUCACAGAACAAAAUCCACUAGAAGCAGUAUUGACAAAUUGCAAAUUACAGACUUGUCACUGCUUCUGGAUAAAUUCAGCCAGAGGUUGAAUAGAAAAUGAUCUAUUUUUGGGCCAAGUAAGGAGACUUCACAUGCCACAGUAGAGAAGUAUAGAAGAUAUAAGUAACUCUACCAGAACCUAAAUGUAGACCGUGUGGGGAUAGUGUAAGGAGACCAUUUACAAAUAAGGGUAAGAGGAAGGUUAAAUUUAAAAUUAUAUAUUUAUGUGCUUUUUGGCAUUUCCCUCCACAAAAUAGGUAGAUUGCACUGAACUAGAUGAAUAUGCACAUAAUGCAAGAUGUUAUGGACUUAAAGGGACACUGUAGGACACAUUUUAGAUACCCAGACUACUUCAGCUAACUGAAGUUGUCUGGGUGCCAGUGUCCCUUUUACACUUAGUACUGCAAUGUUAAACAUUGCAGCUCUAAGUAUGCCCACAGUGGCUGUCUACCUGACAGCCACUAGAGGGGCUUCCGGAAUAGAAAUAGACCUUUGGUCCAGUAACUGAUGCUGGACGUCCUCACGCUCUGCAUGAAGACAUCCAGUGUCAGAUUUUUCCCCAUAGGAAAGCAUCGAUUCAAUGGUGAGGUCUAAUAGGCACGCGUGCAUAUUACCACUAGCAUGUCGCGUGUGAGCGUCGGCCCUGCACCUAGGGACAUCAGUGCUGGCAAAAGGUAAUUAAAGGGUUUUUAACUCUUUUAUUUACCUUUACCGAAUGGGGGGGCGCGAUGAAAGGGGGAGGCAGAGGGAGCUAUAGUGCCAGGAAUACAGCUUUAUAUUCCUCGCACUUAUAGUACCCUUUAAAGAAAAAAGAAAAUCCCUGGCCACACAGCACACUAGUAAGGGUGAUCCAAAAUCCACUACCUUAACUAUCUGUUUGGAGCUUGAAGCUACGAUAGUAUUAUGUUUUAUGUCUGGUAUUAAAGUAAAUGUGUAAGUCUAUAUAGCUGGCAAGCAUUGGAGGCCCACAGACCAGAUGUAACAUAUGGCUUUUUUUUGUGGCCAGCAUACUGUCUGUGAACUGUGAUUUACGUCAGUGUGCACUUGUUUUGUUAAUAUACAGUGACAGGCAUUUAAAGAUUAUUUAUAAUUUAUUAUGUAUAACGAAUACUCCCAUUAAUAAAGUGUGUUCUAAAAAUG